UACGUAGGGUGCAAGCGUUGUCCGGAAUUAUUGGGCGUAAAGAGUGCGUAGGCGGUUCGUUAUGUCUGCUGUGAAAGCCCCGGGCUUAACCCGGGAAUGGCAGUGGAAACUGGCGGGCUUGAGUGUGGCAGAGGGGGGUGGAAUUCCGCGUGUAGCAGUGAAAUGCGUAGAGAUGCGGAGGAACACCGAUGGCGAAGGCAGCCCCCUGGGCUAACACUGACGCUGAGGCACGAAAGCGUGGGGAGCAAACAGG
rnacentral:rRNA from 1 species